CACGCCGUAAACGAUGGGUGCUAGGUGUAGGAGGUAUCGACCCCUUCUGUGCCGUAGUUAACACAAUAAGCACCCCGCCUGGGGAGUACGGCCGCAAGGUUGAAACUCAAAGGAAUUGACGGGGGCCCGCACAAGCGGUGGAGCAUGUGGUUUAAUUCGACGCAACGCGAAGAACCUUACCAGGGUUUGACAUCCCCUGACAGCCGUUGAAAGAUGGUUUUUUGCCUUCGGGUAAACAGGGAGACAGGUGG
rnacentral:rRNA from 1 species